UGUCUUUCUUAGCGCCUCCCUGAUAGGCCUUGCUGACCUUCAAAAGCAUUCAAUUUUCUUUACCUUUGUUUUUUGGGCUGGCUUUGCUGGAGGCUGACGGAGGCUGAUAGCAAUCAGAACGUUUUUCAUUUGGCAGCUGAGAUUUUUCUUCCUUUUUUGAAUUCAAAUCCUCCGGAGACAGGAGUUGCCAGGACUCAGUCUGAUGCUCAGACCACACCCGCCACUGUAAUGAAAAGGGUUCCGGGGGCUGGGCAGCGGCUGCAGCCUGUACUCCUGGGGCUCAAUCUUGGCAUCCGCCUCAAGCUUACAACCUGUAUUUCAAGGACCUAUCACCUGAGAGCCUUGCCACCAUUCUUGGCUGACCUGUGAAGCUGAUAGAUAUUCUGAAUGCACUAGAAAAAGAAAGAUGCCUCAAAAUCAAGAGACCCACCCAUCUACGUCUCUACCUUCCUCCUAACCCCCAGACAACACCACAGGAGACCACCUUGAGGAAGACACAGGAGGAGAGAAAGCAGGCAAUAUGAGCAGCUUACCCAGGAGCAUACUGUAGGUAUGGUAGUUCCAAUGGAUUGCCAUCCAGGUGGCGGCAUCUCUGACCCAGGAGUAGAACCUGCAAGAAAGACACCAAGGAGUGAUGAGUUCCUCUACAGAAAUGGACCAAAAGAGAUAUCACCCGAGAUUUUCCAAGGUGACCCAUGCCAGAUUUUCAAAUGUAAAAAAUUAAAUUAGUAUCCAUGUUCUAAGGGACUCUUGAAAUUAUUUCUGGAUAAGGAAAUAAUUAACUUCAUUGUGAAUGAAAUCAAUUAUGGUACUCAAAUAAAAUGUGAGGCUCACUUC